CUGUGGAGACAUUGCCCAUGUAGAUCUACAUGUCUGAGUCUGUCUUUCUUGCCUCCUGAGUUUCCUCUUAACAUUUUUGGUCCUUCGAGCACAGGAGGGAAAUAUAUCGAAUAAUUUGUUCGUGACUCCCUAACCUGAGGUCCACACUGCAUCCUGACGUCGUGGGGAUCCCGGCACCGCAAGACUGUCGACAGCCCUCCGAGAGGAGGAUAAAAAACCUAGGACGUGAAAUUCGGGUCUAGGUCGGUGACUUUAGCCCCGGGCCACGGCGGUGGGAUCCAGUGAGCGGCCUCAACACUAGCCAGAGAACCCAGGAGGGGUUGCGACCUGGUGACUGGAUCCUGGUCCGAGAGCUGAACAGGAAGUCUUGGAGUGAGCUGAGGUGGAAAGGGCCAUAUCAAGUCCUGGUUGUGACCCCCACUGCUUGCAAAAUAGCAGAGCGCCUGUCGUGGAUCCACCAAAGCCACUGUAAAAAAGUGAGUGACAGCUUGGCCUAGAGAUGCCGACGCCCCUACUCUCUGGUAAUCUGAAAGGUGGAGGAAGGGCUGAUUGGGUAUAGCCCGCCCUUUGCUUCUUGCCUUUAGUCUACUUAUCAGAGGGGUUAGGUGCGCCAGGUCGACAUGAGGAAGCUGUCCCUCGCAGCACUUGCUCUUGCUGUGCUAGUCACAGCAUGUCUUCUAUGGCUCCGCCCGGAUUUGACACAGCACCAGAAAAGAGCUUGGACACAUGAUAACUCACACCUGAGAGAGAUGACAUUGGAUCAUAUCCACCCCUCGAUGAACAACGCAUGGUACAGAUAUGUAUAUAAUCGAACUGCAGAAAGGAACUGUUACAUCUGCUCACACAUGCCUGCGACCUCAGUUCACGCAAGUAUCUAUGGCAAAACACCAAACCCCACUCAGAGUAUGUGUAUCAUGUUUAAAGCACUAACAGGACAUUGCAGCGACAGAGACAUGGUGUUGUUGAAGGCAGCUACAGCCUCACAGAUGGACUACAAUCUCCCUGCUUGUGAGAACUUGACCAUCAGUCGCCAGAGAAGACGUGAUUGUGUGCAGAAUUUUACAACAACAAACUUCACCUGUGAUGAAAAAAUUGGGUAAACAUUGCUGUAUCAAACAAAAAGGAAUGUGCGCACCGAUUCUCAUCUCUGACCACACUUUCAAAGUGACUGCAACUACCGAGGACAACAGACGAAAGAGGGAUGUGAUUGAUGUAAAACCACAUGAUGCAGUCUGGGGCAGUGAUGUGCCUGAAGAAUUCAAACACUGGUCCAAAGGAACCAAAGUGCUUUUGGCCCUGUUCCCCUGGGUGGGACCAGCAAAGAAUACGUUACGCUUAGAAACGUUAGACUAUCGUUUUGGUUUGUUUUUGAAUGCUUUUUGUAAAAUAAAUAAAGCACAAAAUGAAGAGAUAGAUGCACUCAGAAUUUCAGUAAUGCAACACAGAGUCGCCUUAGAUAUGCUGUUGGCGGAAAAAGGCGGGCUAUGUGUUCUGUUUAACACCACUUGUUGUACCUUCAUUCCAGACAAUGUACAUUCUAGCAACAUGACAGAUGCAUUAAAAGUUUUAAAACGGUUUCAGAAUGUGCAGUCAAAGGAAUAUGUAGACGGAGGUACAGACUGGUUGAAAUGGUUGCUAAGUGGCUCGUGGACUGUUUUGCUGUAUAAAGGUUUAAUACUCAUAGGACUCCUGCUUACACUGUUCUGUGUGUUUUUUACAUGUGUUCUCCCAUGUCUCAGGAAGAUGAUUUCUAAAAUGAUUUCCACAUCAUUGACAGCUUAUGUUUCUGUACCAAUGGAUGACAAAAACGAUCUGAGUAACAGUGAGGAUAACUCUGAAGACGAAAAUGUUUGUGUAGAAAGAAAAAUCCUAAAGAUGACCUGUAAAGCUAGAUUGCAAUAUAAGUAACACAUAGUGACGACAUAUUUGAAAAUGCUAGUAGCAAGAGAACAUGUUCUGAAAUAAAGUGUGAAACGUGUUGAAAUGAGCUAAAACAGGAGGGAAUGUUAAAGAAUUUUUAUAUGUAUUAUGCCUUAUUGUAGUUAAAAAUCCCUAGUUGUUUAGCCUCAUUUAAACUCUUGCAUAUACUGUGUUUGCUGACAAAGCUUGCAUGAGGAAGCUGCUAUAGGAAGCCUCACCCUUUGCUGAGUUUACUGAGAUAAGCUUGACCAGUUCCUGUUGUGACAGUUUGAACAUAUAUGUUUUAUGCUUAUCACCUUGUAAGGAGUUGUUUUGUACUCACAAGGGGUGGCGCCCUGAAAUGUGCUACGUAAGAGCUGUCUAUAAAUAAAGAGAGAACCGAUGUCUCGGCGCGUGUCUCUGUGGAGACAUUGCCCAUGUA